UCCAAGGUCCCUUUUGUACAGUGGAAAGAGGCAGCACCUCCAGAAGGUGAUUCAGAUUGAUGCGGCUGCAUGGGAGAUGAGGGUGGGAAUGCUGGUAAGUUAGGAGCCUCAAUUAGAUGACACAGAUCCUGGCCUAAAAUCUUCUGUACUUGAGACUCCUUUAUUUACUUUGAUGACUCUUUCUGACAAGCAUAAGGAAGUAAAAGUGGCACAAUUCAGUGCUGUCCUUAACUCUGCCCCCAAAGAAAUUGUAUUUCUCAGCAGUAAUCCUGACUUGUAAAUGAUGCUCUCAAGGGUGGAUUCACCUGAAGGAGGAGGCAGUGAGGUGCCUGUGGCCCCAUCAUCAGCACCAUCUGGUUCUGCGCUUGAUGUUGAGGUUGUGGGACACAGCUGCACAGCCCUCCCUUCCUCUGCAUCCUUACUCAGAUCACACCUAAAUCUGGCCCUGGGUCCCAGACAUAAUACUUUUAGGUGUGCAGGUUAGUAAUUAACCUUGAGCACAGAUCCAGAGUUUGAUGAUUUUACCUCUAACUUCUUGCAUAUACGCUUUUCAGAAUAAACUACACAGAAUUGUUGUUUCUAGGAAAAAUGCUAAGUGCUUCCCAAGAAAUUGCCACAUCCAGUUGAAUAAGCACUGUCCUCCCAGCCUCAGCCCAUUUCCUCCUGGAACGGGUUGGUUUGUCCCGCUCCCUCUUCAUGCUGGCAAGUCAUGUCUCUCCCCUCCCUUGUUCUCAGAGCAGCCGUGGCAGCAACUUCCUCCAUGCCCAAAGGACAGCAGGACAAGCACUGUGUGGGUCUGCUAAAGGGACUGGUUACCUCAGACUGGCCACUGCCCCCUCUGCGGGCCCUCUUAUGCAGGGGGAACUAGGCCUGAACUCCCAUAUCUGAGAAGCAUGGGCUGCUCUCCCUUUCUUUGCUUCCCUGUGGCAAAGCUCAGAAGAUUGCCAGGGAGUAGUGAAGACUCCUGUUAAGCAACAGCAGGAUCUUAUGUGAGAUGUGUAAUUAGGUGGGUGAUAUACGCAGCUAAGUUUCAGGAGAGUGCUCAUCUAGUACUGCAUUUAGGCUAAGCCUCGGUCUCUGCCUGGAGAACAUGUUCCACCUUACUUCGUCAUGGCUGACCAACAGCUGAAGAGCUUGUACAUGCCAUAAAUAGCUCUUGGCCUUUGAUCUCAAGGGAUCUUGUGGUAGGAUUAAAAAGAUUGUAUGUUCAAUGAAAAGGCUUAUGUACAUAGUUAAUGUGUUUAUUUUAUUCCUGAUCUUGUUGCACUUUCUGAGUAAGCCUCAUAAAAGUAGAUUAUUUAUUAUAUUAAAGGAGAUACAUUACAGGUUAUGGCAUCACGUGUUAAAGUAUAACAUAGAAAAUAUUACACUCUAUUGCAGAUAGCUACACUAAACAAUGUGUAUACAACAUAUUGAGAUUACUGGCUAGUUCUGUCUUUUUGUGUUACAAUAGUACAAACCUCCUGAAUUGAAAGCAGACCUAUUUUGUAUCUGUGACACUGGGGAGGUCCAACCUCUCUGUGUGCUUAUAGCACAGUUCCUCCUGCUGUGGCAUUGAACCUCCUCCCCAGGCUCUAGCAGAACAGCUCCCUUGUGUAAAUGAAUGUUACUCUGCCUGUCUUUCCUCUUACUUUGUCUGCAGGCGAGGUGAUACCGAUGGCUCCUCCCGUCCAGACAGUCCUCCACUCUUGCUUGAUAUAUGAUUUGUUCCGUCUUGACGGCCAUUUACUUUACUGCCUGUCUCUUUACUUUUCCAGGACGGUGUAAACAGUGACUGCUUUUUGUAAGAAGCAAAUGCUUAAUUUCUUUCUGAAUUUUGCUCUGUCUGUUAAUGCCCUAUUUCACAUGAGCCAAAGCAUCCACCUUUGGUUUCAUAAUCUGUAAAUGGUUCCUGGUGUUGACCUUUGAGCACAAGUCGAUUCCUGAAACCAUGGUCAUUAUUGACCAUCACAUACACCUGCUGUAAAAAUGUUAAGCUGCAUUUCUGAACCUGAAAUAAACUGUAACUCUUG
ensembl:lncRNA